UUCGGCCACAUCACGCUGAAACACCUGUUCCCGUACGAUCACUGAAGUUAAGCAACGUUGAGCGUGGUUAGUACAUUGAUGGGUGACCGCUCGAGAAUAACAGAUGCUAUA